CGGGGGGGGGCGCCUAUCUGCAAGUCGAGCGGACAGAUGGGAGCUUGCUCCCUGAUGUUAGCGGCGGACGGGUGAGUAACACGUGGGUAACCUGCCUGUAAGACUGGGAUAACUCCGGGAAACCGGGGCUAAUACCGGAUGGUUGUUUGAACCGCAUGGUUCAAACAUAAAAGGUGGCUUCGGCUACCACUUACAGAUGGACCCGCGGCGCAUUAGCUAGUUGGUGAGGUAACGGCUCACCAAGGCAACGAUGCGUAGCCGACCUGAGAGGGUGAUCGGCCACACUGGGACUGAGACACGGCCCAGACUCCUACGGGAGGCAGCAGUAGGGAAUCUUCCGCAAUGGACGAAAGUCUGACGGAGCAACGCCGCGUGAGUGAUGAAGGUUUUCGGAUCGUAAAGCUCUGUUGUUAGGGAAGAACAAGUACCGUUCGAAUAGGGCGGUACCUUGACGGUACCUAACCAGAAAGCCACGGCUAACUACGUGCCAGCAGCCGCGGUAAUACGUAGGUGGCAAGCGUUGUCCGGAAUUAUUGGGCGUAAAGGGCUCGCAGGCGGUUUCUUAAGUCUGAUGUGAAAGCCCCCGGCUCAACCGGGGAGGGUCAUUGGAAACUGGGGAACUUGAGUGCAGAAGAGGAGAGUGGAAUUCCACGUGUAGCGGUGAAAUGCGUAGAGAUGUGGAGGAACACCAGUGGCGAAGGCGACUCUCUGGUCUGUAACUGACGCUGAGGAGCGAAAGCGUGGGGAGCGAACAGGAUUAGAUACCCUGGUAGUCCACGCCGUAACGAUGAGUGCUAAGUGUUAGGGGUUUCCGCCCCUUAGUGCUGCAGCUAACGCAUUAAGCACUCCGCCUGGGGAGUACGGUCGCAAGACUGAAACUCAAAGGAAUUGACGGGGGCCCGCACAAGCGGUGGAGCAUGUGGGUUAAUUCGAAGCAACGCGAAGAACCCUACCAGGUCUGACAUCUCUGACAAUCCUAGAGAUAGGACGUCCCUUCGGGGCAGAGUGACAGUGUGCAUGAUUCGUCAGCCCCUGUCCGGGAAUGUGGUAGUCCCGCACGAGCGCAACCUGAUCUAGUGCAGCAUUCAGUGGCACUCUAGUGACUGCGUGACAAACCGGAGAAGGUGGAUGAA
rnacentral:rRNA from 1 species